GAAGCAAAAACUCAGGACAGAGUAUAGUAUUUGUUUGUGGUGACGAUCGGGCCUGAAAAAAAACCCAGCUUCUUGAUUUAAAUCGUAUCUUUCAUGAAAAUAUAUAUAUCAAAUCUAGUAAUGCAUGCUUCCAUAACUCGUGUGUGGAAAUCUGAAUACAUUUACUAUAUAUGUGUACUCCGAAAGGUUGAUUUUCUUUGACCUAUGGAUAAAGUGCCUUGCAUUUUGGUGCUAAAGUGGAAAACUGUUUCAAUAUUCUGAAUAAAUUGGUUUUUUAAAAUAC
rnacentral:misc_RNA from 1 species